UAAAUAUCCUGCUCUUGUGAAUUUUCAGACGGUGUUCCUGAGUUUAUUUGAUCAUUUUCCUAACAACUUGGUCCUUUGAGCCGGAUCUCAACAACCUCUCCUACUGUCCAGGACAGGACCUGAACCGUGCACGGGGGAGUCUGGGACUCCUGAACUAAAGUCCUCCAGCAUAGAGAAUUGCUGUUAAAAAGAGGCCAGGAUCUGCUGGACUGUGGGAAGGUGACGAGAUCCACGAACAGAGAGAAACCAGGACGUCUGUAUCAGAAGUGGGCCGCAUUGAAUAAAGAGAGACUCCCCGCCUUGAUACCUGUGUCUCGACUGUUUGAUUCCUUUUGAUCCACCACUUCUCGCCACAACAUAAUUGGUGACCCCGACGUGAUCGAGUUUGGAUCCUAGGCUGGGAAGGAGGCCGACGCAUCCCGCUCCAAGGUCGCUGAGAAUACUGCAGUAAAGGAGCCUGAACAACCAACAUCUAUCGUUGUUCCGGGGGACUGGGUGUUUGUCAAAGUCAUUAAAAAAAAGACCUGGUCCAGCCCAAGGUGGGAAGGACCGUUCCAGGUUCUCCUGACCAACGGCAGUAAAGAUCGCAGAAAGAGGCUCCUGGAUCCAUCUCUCACACUGUAAGAAAGCACUUCAGCUAUCUUCUCUGGAGGAAGACUCAGGUGAGACCUAGAACACUGACCUCAGCAUCUCCAUGGGAUAGUCUGGCUACAAAGGGGAGUGAAACCAACAGGGUCCCUUGUCUCAAACCAGUGAAGAACCCAUCAGUACCUGGAGAUAGUAGGAGGGAAGUGUCUGGGGUUACUGGCUUUCUCCGAAAGAGACUCUGAUGACAAAUGAACAAAUAAUCAAUUUAAAUUAUAUUCCUAUUUGCCAAACACCAAAAGGGAUAGCUUUAAUAGUGUGGAGUGAAAACGAAGAUUCUAGCAUUAACCUGCUUACUAUAUUUACUGUGUUAUUCUUAGCAUUAGCAUCCUAUUAAUCCAGUCCUAUUAAUAAUUUAUCUGUUAAGUUGAGUUAUUUCCUAAAAAUAAACAUGGAUAGGCCACGACCAUGGCAUCCGUUUAGACAACCAGGCCUCUGUGGCCUCAGGGGUACCAUCUGUUGUUUACUCUGUAUAACACUUAUCAUUAUGCUCCCAAUGAUAUGGUUUGAGUUGCAGGUAAGCAAGAGCCAACACCCACUCAAUGAGACCGAGACGACCACUGACAGAACCCCUGCUGAAGAGGAAAUCAAAGUAGGGAACAGAUCACUGAGUGGUAGUAAGACACCGUUAACACUAACCUUUACUGAGGGACAAAGUAAUACAGCAAAGUUCGAUCUCUGUUCUGUCAGACAUUGUGGCCAAAACCAAGAAGCCCAUAAAUGUUCAAUGUAAGUUCUACCAGUAUUCCAGAGCAACUACAGAACGGGCCUAUUGUGACUUACCUAGAUCUCACUAAUGCAACCAUAAUGGAUAAAGUAGCUAUUGAGACAGGGUUUGUUGAGACAAAUGAAUGGCUUCGAUGGUUAAUUUAUACUGCACAAAACAAUAAACCAAAUACAACCAAUUGUCUAGCAUGUGCGGCAGCCAGGCCUGGGUUAGGCACAGUUCCAUUUCCCUUAAAUCAAAACGAUGAUCCAGAUGGAUUCCAGUGUAUGAUCAGACUAUUCAACUCUCCUAACCCUUCUGAAGACUGUACCACCUUGCACUAUCUGUUCCCUCCGACUGCAGAAACAUGACCGCCUCACUUCAGCCCGUAUGCAGGUAAUUACACCCGUAUCGAGCGAAGGGGAUUGGGGCAGGAUGUGGGGGAGCUGUCGUGGUGCAACGUUACAUUAUCAACUAACGGCACAGGCAUUCAGGACG